AAUCAGACAACUAAAUUUCAGUUUGCCUGCUUCUGCAUGCUUGCGACAAAGCUUUGUAAGACACGAAAUGUCCGUCCAGAGCCCUUAUUCUAGCCGUAACUAAUUCUUCCAGCUGUGCCUGUGCCACUUAAAAAGGAAAUCAAAUACGCAAGCACAAACUGCAUCCACUUUCUGGUGUGAGAAGGAAAGCUUUCAUCACAAAAUGUGACGAGAAACAGGCGUGUGGGCGAUGAUUCACAUUUUAAAGAUUACCAUGGAUAUACCACAAGUCUAAAACCGAGGGAAUAAGCUGAGGAGUCAUGGCGAGUCGGAAGAUUUACAAGAGGACGCGGUCGGACUUGCGCAAUGAGCGUCGCCACACCGCCCUCAUGGGGAGCAGGCUGUACACCACCUUCAGCAAUCGGAAGGGUAAAGCGUCGGGCCUGUUGCUGUCUGUGACGAGAUCAGAACCAGC